AUGGACGCAAGUCUGAUGGAGCAACGCCGCGUGAGUGAAGAAGGCUUUCGGGUCGUAAAACUCUGUUGUUGGAGAAGAAUGGUCGGCAGAGUAACUGCUGUCGGCGUGACGGUAUCCAACCAGAAAGCCACGGCUAACUACGUGCCAGCAGCCGCGGUAAUACGUAGGUGGCAAGCGUUAUCCGGAUUUAUUGGGCGUAAAGCGAGCGCAGGCGGUUUUUUAAGUCUGAUGUGAAAGCCCUCGGCUUAACCGAGGAAGUGCAUCGGAAACUGGGAAACUUGAGUGCAGAAGAGGACAGUGGAACUCCAUGUGUAGCGGUGAAAUGCGUAGAUAUAUGGAAGAACACCAGUGGCGAAGGCGGCUGUCUGGUCUGUAACUGACGCUGAGGCUCGAAAGCAUGGGUAGCGAACAGGAUUAGAUACCCUGGUAGUCCAUGCCGUAAACGAUGAAUGCUAGGUGUUGGAGGGUUUCCGCCCUUCAGUGCCGCAGCUAACGCAUUAAGCAUUCCGCCUGGGGAGUACGACCGCAAGGUUGAAACUCAAAGGAAUUGACGGGGGCCCGCACAAGCGGUGGAGCAUGUGGUUUAAUUCGAAGCAACGCGAAGAACCUUACCAGGUCUUGACAUCUUUUGAUCACCUGAGAGAUCAGGUUUCCCCUUCGGGGCAAAUGACAGGUGGUGCAUGG
rnacentral:rRNA from 2 species